CCUACGGGAGGCAGCAGUGAGGGAUAUUGGUCCAUGGACGAGAGUCUGAACCAGCCAAGUAGCGUGAAGGAUGACUGCCCUGUGGGUUGUAAACUUCUUUUAUAUGGGAAUAAAACGUUCCACGUGUGGGAUUUUGUAUGUACCAUAUGAAUAAGGAUCGGCUAACUCCGGGCCAGCAGCCGCGGUAAGACGGAGGAUCCGAGCGUUAUCCGGAUUUAUUGGGUUUAAAGGGAGCUUAGGUGGAUUGUUAAGUCAGUUGUGAAAGUUUGCGGCUCAACCGUAAAAUUGCAGUUGAAACUGGCAGUCUUGAGUACAGUAGAGGUGGGCGGAAUUCGUGGUGUAGCGGUGAAAUGCUUAGAUAUCACGAAGAACUCCGAUUGCGAAGGCAGUUCACUGGACUGCAACUGACACUGAGGCUCGAAAGUGUGGGUAUCAAACAGGAUUAGAUACCCGUGUAGUC
rnacentral:rRNA from 1 species